UACUGACAGCUUCACCCUGAGAGCUCCACCACCAAACCCCCUGCAAACGUGGUGGCCCAGCUAUAGGAGAAAAGGCCAUGAGGAAGACUGUGAGGCACGAAAGGACCCAGUGUGAUACACAAAGAGCAGGCUUAAAUCCAAACACCCUCAGGAGAACACUUCCACUGGCAUUUAACUUGAAACACUCACUUGAGAUACUGCAUGUUGGUUGCAAGGAUUGAGACUCCUACAUUUGCAAGAGGAGGAGUCAGUGAGAUAGCCAGCGAUGCAACAGUGGAGAGGGCUUUCUUUAAGAAAGUAUGCUAUGAAAUUACAUGUGGAAUACAAGAAAAGACUGAUGAGUCUGGGCUUGUUCAGUCUGAGGCUGAGAAGAGAUUUGAGAGCAGCCCACAGCUACUUCAAAGGGGACUUACGCUUCAUGGUGUGAGUGGAUUAAAACAACAGACCACAGAGAGAUCAAACUCAGGGAAGUGACAACUUUCACUUCUCAGAAAGAAAUAACCAGAGACAUUCACAUCUGGCUGCAAUGAAACCCUGAGGCAAACAUCCAGGAGUAUAUACGGUGAACAUAAGAACAGGCGCUGGAAAUACUUUAGGAAUAAGGCUAAGACAAAGAAAUCAGGAGGGCCCUUGCUUACAGGAGGAAAAGAGGGAAAAUAAAGGUUGGCAUGAAAGAGGAUGCAGCUGAGGAGGAACAACCCCAGACAUUACCACAUGCUGUGGGCCACCCAGCUAGAAAGCAGCUUUGCAGAAGAGGAACUGGGGGUGCUGGUGGACAGUAAGUCAAACAUACCCGGUCCUAUGCUGCUUCUGCUAAGAAGGCCAAUGGCAUCCUGGGCUGUAUUACACAAAGCAGGACAAAACGAGGUCAUACUUCCCUCUGCUCAGCACUGGUGAGGCUGUACCUGGAGUCAGGAGUCCAGUUCUGGCUCCUCAGUGCAAGAAAGACCUGGACAUACUGGAGAGAGUCCACCAAGGGGCACAAAAAUGAUUAAGGGAGUCCCUCUCCUAUAAGAAAAGACAGAGAGAGCUGGGGCCUCUCAGCCCGGAGAAGAGGAGGCUCUGGGAGGUCCCAUCCAUGUCCAUAAACACCUAAAGGGAGAGCGCAGAAGACAGAGCCAGGCUCUGCUCUGCUCAGUGGUGCCCACAACCAGCAAAGAGGCAAUAGGCAAAAACUGGAACACAGGAGGAUCCUGAGGACCUCCAGAGAUCCUUUCCAAACUAAACCAUUCUGUCAUUCAAGGCUUUUUUAUUUUUUGAGGUGCCCAGUAUUGAAAAGUAUCUAUUUCACCUAAAACAUGGAACUAAAUACAUAGUGAGCAGUUAAAGGUCACAUAAACAAACUGCAAUUCUAUCUGUCGAUCUGAUGGCUUUCACUCUUUGUACCUAUGCAAGUUGCUCAUCUCCAAGCCACUAGCAGGUACUUUUAGGCCCCUAAGUAAGAGGCUGGGGUCUCACAAGUAGGGAACUGGGAAAGGAAGAGUGCUUGGGAACUACAGAGCAGUCAGUCCAACUCUGAUUCCAGGUUGUCUGAUUCCAGGACAAGUACUAAAAAAGCCUUUUAAGGGCCUCAUCAAUGUGAUAAAAAAGGAUCUGUAAGCAGUGAAACAGAUGAAUGUUGUUCUCCUGCAUACUUUCCACGAGCUCAGGACAGAGCGCCUGUGACUUCAGCAUGUUCCUAUCAGCUGUCCUUUCAUUUGCAGGCUGGGUGACAGCCAGCACAGUGCUGCUAGUGCACUGCUAAGCAUGUGCUAACUGGCCAGCA